rnacentral:lncRNA from 1 species
AUCACACUGUGUGGAAGAAGCAUGUGUGGUGGGAGCUGCAUGAAGGCAGAGUCAGCCGGUUUAGGGAGGGGCACCUGACAGAUGGAUUUAAGAAUACCGUACCUGGGAUGGCAUCUCACAGAGACAUAGAGAAAUCACCCUGAUGUCUCCCUUCUCUGUUGCCUCAGCUGUGUCUGCAGAAUGACUGGGAGGAAAUACGGCUCUUCCUUCUCAGACUGCAGUGGCCAGCAUCCAAAGGAUACUGUGCCCAGACGUCUGGGGUUGCCAAGGGUCCACUCCAACUGGGCAGAAGCUCCUGGCUGCCUCUCUGUGUCCUUGCACUAUGAGGCCUCUUUUUGCUUUGUUUUUAAAAUAUUUCCCGAAG